CCCAUAAAAAAUUUGACAGCUCCCAAAUUUCACGAUCAUCCGACGAAAUCGGGUGACUAUCAAAUCGACCUAUUUUCAUACCGACGAAGUCGAUUAUCGUUGACUACUUAUUUUCGUCGCCAGAUUUAUUGAAUAAAUAAAUCGGUUGCUGAUUUCAUCGGUUAAAUAAUCGAUUGAUUGUAUUUGUUGCCUAUUUUGAUCGCCUGAUUAAUGAACGUACGAAAUCGGGUGCCUGUGGUUAUGAAUUAAAAAUGAAGCAAGCUCGGAAGCAAACCGAGGUACGUUAAAGAACAUGCCGGAAGACUGGUUUUCCGAUAAUUAGCAGUAAUCAAGAAUCAUGAAGUUUGAGGCGAUCCCGCUCGAUCGAAAAAGUGUUCGUGCACUCUUGUCUGGGUCAAGAUCUUCGGAAGUAUGGACAUUCCUCGAAUAAUUGUCCAAGGCAUCCAUUAAAUCGAUUAAACACCCUAUUUGGUCGGAUUACAAUAUUUUGCACACCGAUCAAUCUCUAGAUUUAAUCUGAUACACUAGAUGAUGAAAUUAAAUAAACCGAU